GAACGAGGAUAUAUCCUUCGGGAUAUAAGCCGAGUGGCACAAGGGUGAGCAAUGCAUAGAUUACCUACCUUUAGGAUAAGGGCAACUUUGUGAAAACGGAGCUAAUACUUAAUAAUACAAAAGAAAAUAAUUUUCUUUUGUCAAAGGGAGGGUAGCAAUACCUUUCGCCUAGAGAGGGGUUUAUGUCCUAUCAGCUUGUUGGUGGGGUAAUAGCCCACCAAGGCGAAGACGGGUAGCCGGUUUAAGAGGAUGGUCGGCCACACUGGGACUGAGACACUGCCCAGACUUCUACGGAAGGCUGCAGUCGAGAAUCUUUCGCAAUGCCCGAAAGGGUGACGAAGCGACGCCGCGUGGGUGAAGAAGGCCUUCGGGUUGUAAAGCCCUGUCAGGAGUUAUGAAAUGUAAGUGCGCUAAUAUCGUGCUUAUUUGACAAAGGCUCCAAAGGAAGCCACGGCUAACUCUGUGCCAGCAGCCGCGGUAAUACAGAGGUGGCGAGCGUUGUUCGGAAUUAUUGGGCGUAAAGAGCACGUAGGUGGGUUUGCAAGUCAGAUGUGAAAGCCUUCUGUUCAACGGAAGAAUUGCAUCUGAAACUGCUAAUCUUGAGUAUAGGAGGGGAGAAUGGAACUUCUGGUGGAGCGGUGAAAUGCGUAGAUAUCAGAAGGAACGCCGGCGGCGAAAGCGAUUCUCUGGCCUAUUACUGACACUCAGUGUGCGAAAGCUAGGGGAGCAAACGGGAUUAGAUACCCCGGUAGUCCUAGCCGUAAACGAUGGGCACUAAGUAGAGGGAAUUACCUAUAUUCUCUCUGCCGUAGCUAACGCAUUAAGUGCCCCGCCUGGGGAGUACGGCCGCAAGGCUAAAACUCAAAAGAAUUGACGGGGGCUCGCACAAGCGGUGGAGCAUGUGGCUUAAUUCGAUGCAACGCGAAAAACCUUACCGGGGCUUGACAUGAUAGAAGUAGGAACCUGAAAGGGGGACGAACGGUAUCCAGUCCGUAGCUAUCACAGGUGUUGCAUGGCUGUCGUCAGCUCGUGUCGUGAGACGUUGGGUUAAGUCCCCUAACGAGCGAAACCCUUGUUUUUAGUUACCAGCGGGUUAUGCCGGGUACUCUAGAAAGACUGCCGUCGUCAAGACGGAGGAAGGUGGGGAUGACGUCAAGUCAUCAUGGCCCUUAUGCCCCGGGCUGCACACGUGCUACAAUGGUCGGUACAGACGGAAGCGAAGCCGAGAGGUGAAGCGAAUCCUAAAAAGCCGAUCUCAGUUCGGAUUGGAGGCUGAAAUUCGCCUCCAUGAAGUUGGAAUCGCUAGUAAUCGCGGAUCAGCAAUGUCGCGGUGAAUAUGUUCCCGAGCCUUGUACACACCGCCCGUCAAGCCACCCAAGCAGGAUGCACCCGAAAACAUUAUAUCUAACCAGGGCAACUUGGAGGAAAAUGUUGAAGGAGUGUUUUGUGAGGAGGACU
rnacentral:rRNA from 1 species